UGGGGAAUAUUGGACAAUGGGGGCAACCCUGAUCCAGCGAUGCCGCGUGGGUGAAGAAGGCCUUCGGGUUGUAAAGCCCUUUAGGUUGGGAAGAAGCUUGGUAUUGGAUAAAGGUAUCAAGUUGACUGUACUGACAGAAUAAGCACCGGCAAACUCUGUGCCAGCAGCCGCGGUAAUACAGAGGGUGCGAGCGUUAAUCGGAGUUACUGGGCGUAAAGGGCGCGUAGGCGGUUAUGUGUGUGUGAUGUGAAAGCCCCAGGCUUAACCUGGGAAGUGCAUCGCGGACUAUAUGACUGGAGUACAAGAGAGGGUGGUGGAAUUUCCGGUGUAGCGGUGAAAUGCGUAGAGAUCGGAAGGAACGUCAAUGGCGAAGGCAGCCACCUGGCUUGAUACUGACGCUGAAGCGCGAAAGCGUGGGGAGCGAACAGG
rnacentral:rRNA from 1 species